rnacentral:rRNA from 1 species
UACGUAGGGUGCAAGCGUUAAUCGGAAUUACUGGGCGUAAAGCGUGCGCAGGCGGUUUUGUAAGUCUGUCGUGAAAUCCCCGGGCUCAACCUGGGAAUUGCGAUGGAGACUGCAAGGCUAGAAUCUGGCAGAGGGGGGUAGAAUUCCACGUGUAGCAGUGAAAUGCGUAGAGAUGUGGAGGAACACCGAUGGCGAAGGCAGCCCCCUGGGUCAAGAUU